rnacentral:rRNA from 1 species
CACGGGGGGAGCAAGCGUUGUUCGGACUCACUGGGCGUAAAGGGCGUGUAGGCGGUCAGAUAAGUGGAAUGGGAAAUGCCCCGGCUCACCCGGGGACCGGCAUCCCAAACUGUCUGGCUUGAGUAUGGGAGAGGAUGAGGGAAUUCCUGGUGUAGCGGUGAAAUGCGUAGAUAUCAGGAGGAACACCGGUGGCGAAGGCGCUCAUCUGGCCCAAUACUGACGCUGAUGCGCGAAAGCUAGGGGAGCAAACGGG